AGUGAACGCUGGCGGUAGGCCUAACACAUGCAAGUCGAACGGCAGCACAGUAAGAGCUUGCUCUUACGGGUGGCGAGUGGCGGACGGGUGAGGAAUACAUCGGACUCUACUUUUUCGUGGGGGAUAACGUAGGGAAACUUACUCUAAUACCGCAUACGACCUACGGUUGAAAGCAGUGGAUCUUCGCACCUUGCGCGAUUGAAUGAGCCGCUGUCGGAUUAGCUAGUUGGCGGGGUAAAGGCCAACCCAGGCGACGAUCCGUAGCUGGUCUGAGAGGAUGAUCAGCCACACUGGAGCUGAGACACGGACCAGACUCCUACGGGAGGCAGCAGUGGGGAAUAUUGGGCAAUGGUCGCAAGCAUGAUCCAACCAGACCGAGUGGGUGAAGAAGGCGUUCGGGUUGUAAAGACGUUUUGUGGGGAAAGAAAAGCAGCAGGUUAAUACCCAGCGGUUCUGACGGUACCCAAAGAAUAAGCACCGGCUAACUUCGUG
rnacentral:rRNA from 1 species